GACGAACGCUGGCGGCGUGCUUAACACAUGCAAGUCGAACGAAGAGCGAUGGAAGCUUGCUUCUAUCAAUCUUAGUGGCGAGCGGGUGAGUAACGCGUAAUCAACCUGCCCUUCAGAGGGGGACAACAGUUGGAAACGACUGCUAAUACCGCAUACGAUCUAAACUCGGCAUCGAGGAUAGAUGAAAGGUGGCCUCUACAUGUAAGCUAUCACUGAAGGAGGGGAUUGCGUCUGAUUAGCUAGUUGGAGGGGUAACGGCCCACCAAGGCGAUGAUCAGUAGCCGGUCUGAGAGGAUGAACGGCCACAGUGGGACUGAGACACGGCCCAGACUCCUACGGGAGGCAGCAGUGGGGAAUCUUCCGCAAUGGACGAAAGUCUGACGGAGCAACGCCGCGUGAGUGAUGACGGCCUUCGGGUUGUAAAGCUCUGUUAAUCGGGACGAAAGGCCUUCUUGCGAAUAGUGAGAAGGAUUGACGGUACCGGAAUAGAAAGCCACGGCUAACUACGUG
rnacentral:rRNA from 1 species